rnacentral:sRNA from 1 species
ACCUCCUUGAAGGCUUGAGGGAGGUUCUGGUGGAGCUUGGCUGAAUUUGGAUGGGGUCAAGGAAGCGAACGUGUAGUGCCACCUCAAAGCUGCAUCCAGAGGGAGCCUGCAUUUUUUUGGCUGGCUUGGAACCCCCCCCCUCGCCCGCCAGUGGAUUGUGGGAAUUGUAGUUCAGGGACCAUCGGCCCUGGACUGCCAACUUUUAGAGCAUCUUCAGUGAGUGUUUACCUCAUGUCACCAGACCUUAAUCUGCCGAGGCUGCAGGAGCCGGGUGUGAGGCUCAGGCCUUGUGGACAUCCGCUGCCCUACCCUAGCAUAGACGCUCCCAAAUUACAGGCCCCACACCCCGAUGAGGGGGUUUGAGGGUGAGUAACUCAGCCUUUGAAGCUCAUAAACAAAAGGAAGCCACACAACUAGGAGAGGGUCCCCAUCCGGUGAGACUUUGCAGACGACAGAGUCUCAUGCUGUUGCCCAGGCUGAAGUGCAGUGGUGCAAUCUCAGCUCACUGCAACCUCCGCCUCCCGGGUGUUCAAGCGAUUCUCCUGCCUCAGCCUCCCAAGUAGCUGGGAUUACAGGCACCCGCCAACAUGCCCAGCUAAUUUUUGUAUUUUUAGUAGAGACAAGGUUUCACUAUGUUGGCCAGGAUGGUCUCAAUCUCUUGACCUCGUGACCCACCCACCUCAGCCUCCCAAA